rnacentral:rRNA from 1 species
AUUGAACGCUGGCGGCAUGCCUUACACAUGCAAGUCGAACGGUAACGCGGGGCAACCUGGCGACGAGUGGCGAACGGGUGAGUAAUGUAUCGGAACGUGCCCAGUAGUGGGGGAUAGCCCGGCGAAAGCCGGAUUAAUACCGCAUACGACCUACGGGUGAAAGGGGGGAUCGCAAGACCUCUCGCUAUUGGAGCGGCCGAUAUCAGAUUAGGUAGUUGGUGGGGUAAAGGCCUACCAAGCCGACGAUCUGUAGCUGGUCUGAGAGGACGA